GAAGGAAAUCUCACACUCUCCUCACCGCUUACAGCCAAAAAAAAAGACUGAUCUGGAGAAGAGUGGAAAAACAAUGACAAUAUAUCUUUCUUGCAUAAGACAAAGGUGUUGCCUACAAUAAAUUCACUGAGCAAGAAAUAUAGACUUGUGUCCAGUGCUAUGAAAAUUAACCAAGGCACAUUAACUUCAGGAAAUCUUCAAAGGUAUGAAAAUAAAAUGCUUACUCGGUAAUUAUUUAAACCAAACAAGCCAUCAGCAUAUGCUGCAUGGCCCAAGUAUUAUGUCAGGUCAAUAAUUAAGCUGUAGUAAAUCUUCUGGAGCUUCUAUUCUGCCAAACUUUAAAGACUCAAGGCUAACCCAAGGACCCUUAGCAUUUUCAUGAGGAAGUAAAUGAUUGUACAGAUAGCUUCUCAAUCCAAAGUUUGCUACUAUUAACUUUCUACUUUUAAAACAUCCAGAAAAACUGUAUGUUUUAAGUUUGUUGAGUAAUAUCCUGUAAACAAAAUAUGUGCCUUUCUUGACUUUACUAAGAGGAAUAUUUUAUAGACUUGAGUUCUAUCAUGAUAAAAACGCAGGGAAAGAUACACAUUAAGCAAAAAGUAAUGUCUUGGAAUUUUCCCUUGUUUAUGUAAACCUGAUAACUAUGAAAA
rnacentral:lncRNA from 1 species